AAAGGUAUAGCUCAGUGGUAGAGUGCCUGCUUAGCAUGCACAAGGUCCUGGGUUCAAUCCCCAGUACUUCCU
rnacentral:tRNA from 1 species